rnacentral:lncRNA from 1 species
CGUUAAUAGCAGAGCCAAAUCUAUUUGUUUCGAAAAGCGUCGGCCUGCUAUGCAGCUGCUUCGAACACUAAUUUCUGCAAAUAACUUAAGGUUUCAUUUGCAAGAAGAUUCCAUACACAGAAACCUUCUUAGAAGGAAAGGUCAACAAGAGAAUCAAGUCAAAUAAUGGACUGCGUUUAUGUCCCUAACUGCGAGCGAAAUAAACACAAUGGUAGUAAUAUUUACCGCAUACACCGCGGUGUCAAAUUAAAAUCUCAUAUUUGAAGUGACAGCAAUCCUUAGAGUAAGCCUUUAAGGACCGCCCAAAUUUAAAUCGACCUGAAUGUUUGAAAAUAUUGCGCUGUAAUGUAUUAGGAAAGCCGCAAAACAAGCUGUACGAAGCUUACGAUUACUGAAGACCCACGGAAAGUUAGAAAUGCUUUUCUUCACAUGGCAAACUUGAAUUAAAAAAUCUUGCACUUUGCGCGACAAUUAAUUCAACUAUUUACGAAUUACAGCGUCAAGCCAGAAAAGCACCCUGUUGUGCCGUUCAUUUAUCCUUAAUCGAACAGCGUAUAGAUAUUCUAAAGAAGGUGAAAAAACAAAAGUUGCUUGCUCUCAAUUUAAAUCUGUACAGAUGUCAAGUACUACAGAGUAAUCGAAAACAAUUAACGAAAAAGCGACUUUGACAAAUGUUUGACUGAGGGGCUGUAGUCGUUGUCAGGUACUUCUGGGUUCGAUUUCGGUGCAGCGCAAGCUUCCUCAAAACUGACUGAAAGAACGAUAAAUGCAAAUUUGUACAUGAAAAGGAAACUGUGUUACAUGAACAUCCAAGUGAUCUGCAUUCAAAUACGACAUUGUUGAAACUGAUACAGAUUACAUGCUAGAUUUCAAGCACGGAAAUUAUCAAUGACUGUUAUUAAAUGACUUCCUCAGCCCACGACCACCGACGUAAGCGACGCCAUGUUUGUUUGGGUCAGAUAACGCCACUUAUCAACAGAUACAGAUCCCACAGCUCAUAUACGAUAACAAAGUGUCAUUUGAAGAGUCCACAAAUGAAGGAAAUAGUAAAAGCGAUAUCUCACGAAACGUCAAACAUGCUUCGUUGAUGGACAGACCUGGAGGCCAAGCAAGCUGACCAAACCCAAGUGCACUAAGGAUUUCAUCCUUGGCAAAGUUGGCUCCUUGCGCUUUGUGACAUGAAAAUCAAGACGACCAACCCAUUAUGGGCUUUCAAGGUGGUAGUCGUGUUGCAGAUCAUAGAAACAUUCGGUAUGGCAUUCUACAACCAUAAAUGAGCCUUUAAAAGGUCAAGUAGUGGCAAAUACCAGCGAAGAGGUUCAUUGCCAAGUGAAAUCGAGUCCAAGUUUUCAUUUCAGAGUUCGUGUUUGUGUUUUUGAGUAGACGUCGUUCUGGAGAACGGCAACAACAGAGCUGCAGAAAGAACAAUGUGGUAGGGAACAGUGUAGCUUCAGUCACCUCUAUUUUGUAUUCUUCUUAAUUUCAUUUCAAUUCCAUGCCUUGGACGUGUUGGGCGUUUUAUCUCUUAUUUUGCUGUUAUUAGGACGUGAUAUAGCAAAGCAAAAGAUAUUAAGUUUUGAUUCUUAUCAUAAAUUGGAGACUAUUGGAAUUAUAAGCAUUGCUCAAAUAAAUAAAAAAAAAAAACGACAACAGUGAAUUAGAUGAGGUUUAAGAAUCAAAACGUGCAGUUUUAAGAAUGUAGAAAUAAUAAAGGUAUGACUUUUAAACAUCAAAUUAAGAGACUGUGCUGAUGUGCAAGUUUUCUCAGUAAAUCGCCAGAAAAAAUCUCAAAAUCCAAGGAUGAGACAACUACCAUCGGUUAAGUUGAGGAAAAAACAUUGCAUCAUAUAAUAAGAAAUUUGUAUUGCCGGGUGUAUUGAAGUAAAAUACAUCUCAAGUACAACUGAAAGUUCAUGUCACUGGCAAAAUUGAAAGCCGCCUAUCUCGGCUAACACGAUAUAUGGCACUGUCAAGCUACUUCCGCAGCAACACAGUGAGGGUGAUGCAUUGCCGGCAUUGCACAGUCUGUAAAAGGGUACAACAAACUAUCAACGAGAUCAUUUAAGGGUAACACGAUACAAUUCCUGCAAGCCAACUGCAAGCAAACAAACCCCUGGAUUCCUAGUGGAAAUAGGGGAGCUACGAGCUUCAGUCUUCGCAAAUCCUGAGUGCCACGGCAAAAUAGUCGAGUCAUGAAUAUAGAACACAGACGGAAGCAUUCCCUUUUAAUUGGAUUAAGAUCGAAUUGAGAGGUGUUCAACUGAAGCAUAUUAACUUAACUAAUGAGGAGCUUGAGGAUUACAAAUCUGCUAAAGAGCCUUGUUUAGUUGUGUUAAAGCAAAUGGACCACUGAGUACUGAGAUAAAUGACAAAUUAUAUGGCUAUCAUGAUUCAGGGCUGAAAAUACGACUUAGGUGAAGGCAUUCAUCCAAAUAAUUCUGUCGGCCAUCCGGAGCAUGUUGAUCAAACAUUGAAACUCGGAUAUUCUAUCACCAUGCAGUUACAAGGUGAACUGUCUCAAUAAUUCCAGCAAAAGCCAUCGUACCGUAGCUGAAACUGUUACUUAAGACUGUCUGCUAACAAGAGCCAAGUACUCUACAGAAGUGGAUUACACUAACACACCGUUGAGUUUAACUGAAUACCUUGCCUUUUCACUUAGGCUUGCGUCUAAGUAUUAUUAAUGGCUUGAACGAGAGACGUGCUUUGCUGAUCCACGGCUGAGAAUUGCGGCCAGGAUUUUUGAUACGUUCUGUCAACACGUGCCUUAAUGGAAGGUUUAAAUUGCGAAGGAUUCAUUAAACAUAAUUUCAUCAGCUCAGAAAACUGCAUUUUAAAAAAAUCUAUUGUAGCUCAAGUUUACGAAAAACAAGUAAUUCCUUUCAUUCGCCUUGGUAGAAUUAUCAUGAAGACUGAGUAGAUUUCCCACAUUUAGAUCGUCGGUAAUUCUAGGGUAAUAUCGAAGGCGCCCUUGCCGUAAUUUCACCGUGAAUGGACCUGAAAAGCAUCGACGACUGUGUUUCCAAUAACCUUCUUGAAAGUGUCGUGUUUUAAAACUGCAAAGCCAUUUUAUUUUCAUCGCAUUCGGUGGCUUAACUAGACUCAAGACUAAGAAAAGACGGAUACCAGUCCGCAAUUCGUUGUAUCUUAGUGAACGUUUCGUUACAUUUUCAAAACAAAACGAAGUGUUCAUUAUAUUUCAUGAAGUAAUGACGAGCUUUUUUUUCUCAAAAUAUGUGACUGAGAGUGCGCAAAUUAUAGUGCACAGAUGUUCAGCAUGCCUUUUCGUUGACUGAUGGUUAAUGUAUCUUAGACCGUCUAAAGCUAAAGCCGGCCUAUGAGACAGGAAACAAUAAAAAUGACCCGAUUUCUUCAACAAAUAUCUGUAAUUUACACCCAUUUCUAGUUGUAUUAUUUUUACUAUUACUUAUUUUAAAGGAAGGUCUUUUUUCUACGAUAUUAUAGUAAACCAAAAAUUUCUGUGGAUUCAAGGCAAUUUUUCAAUAGUUAUCUGAUCCGAUCUUUAAUGUUUUUCUCUGAAGUUCACACACGAACGAACUUAAAAUAGGGCGCAUAAUAAGAACUACUAAUUGCAAUGCAAAAAGGCGACCAUUUGGGAACCGCAACAAUAUCUGGCGCAAAAGCUAAAAAUUCCACUUAAGUAAGUGCUCUUCUUGUUUGUUUUUGAUAUCUUAGUUCGAGAUAAAAUCAAUAUGAGCCUCGAUUUUGCCCUGAUUUCAGGUACGAUACGUGAUAGACAGUAAUUACUGAGAUUUCAACCAAAUGCGACGCAUCUGCUACUAGACGGUGAAAUACAACUCCAUAUGCAAAUAUUGCGUGAGAAUCACCAGAAAAUAUUUCGCUUUGCGAAGGCUAAAGGCAAUUUUCAAUUGAUGAUUGCAACUACCCUUACCAGAUAUGGUGUGAAUUUCCUAAAAUAAAAUUGUUUAUUCUGAUAUUUAAAGCGCUUUAUGUUCAUAUCGGUUUUGUUUGGUUUCGGAUGUAUUACUGCAAAUACCUCUUUUCCGGUGCUUUUAGGUGUCAUAAAAGCUUUCAGAUAGCGAUAAUCUACCGAUACGACAGACCAUCAAAAACUGAGGCUAGACAUUUUCAUAGCCUUGAACUCCAGGCGAUUAAUGGGAAAUUUGCGCAAAGCUUUUUGUUCUGUUCUAUUUUAUUUUUAUCAAGUUUUCCUCGGCAGUAGCCAUUUGAGAUUUCUCGGGAUUUGGACGCAGAUAACCUUUUAAAGAUAGAUAUAGCUGUUUGCAUUAUCUGCGCUUCAGUUUGGCAAAUAUUUGGACGAUGCCCUGUAACUGACAGAUCGAUAAGCUUAAAGUGUUUUCUUCUUAAAUCUCCUGUCGAGAAAUGUCUCCGCAUUCUUCGGAGUUAUUGAGCUAAACCGCACCUGACAAACUUUGACCCGAGGUUUUCUCUGAGCGUUGAUAGCGUAUCUUUUACAAUAAGACUUUCACUCGGCUGUUAUCUCCUAAAAAAACCUUUGAAUCGAGAUUCGAAACAUCUGCUCAGCGCUGCUACCCAAAAAAUAAGUUCUCAAGGCUAGAUUUUAGUUUUUGGAGUUGCCGCUAAUAGAACCAACGAAAAGGCCAAACGUGAUUUGAUUAAUUCUCCGCCAUCACUAAGUGAUUGCAGCCAUUAGAGACAUUUUUGGCCCCGAACUUUUCACGAUGACCGCUCUGUUUACAGUUGAGGCGUAUUACACGUAGACAUUAUGAUAAUUAACCAUUGUUGGGUGGCAAUCAUUAAGAGUGCAUUUGACAUAAGUUUGACAUCUUUAUCGAUAAAGCAACCCUCACAGCAAUGUAACGCAAAACGGUAUUCAGUCCUUUGAGGGCACUGUUUGGACGCCAUUUGUAGCAAAGAAGAAUAGAAAUAGUAAGCAAUUAGCGCGCUUUUAACAAACCCUAAGGCCAAGUGCUAAUCGUUAUAACACGCUGUCACUUUCAGGCUGUUUCUACAAAGGGAUCUAUUAGCGAGUUUCUUUUUCUUCUUUUUUUUCAAAUGCUAAUCGAGUGGUUGAAAAUAGUUCGAAAAGACGAGUUAGCAAGGAAUAGUGUCAAUGGAUACGAACAAAAGAUUUUCCAUUAAUGUAAAGGCACAACAGCUGAAUGGGAGAUGACACUAACGCAAAACAGCUCACUUAGCGCGGGCUGAAAAGAAAAAAAAAGCUACAGCCCCAAAAAGAAACCCCAAAACUAAUAUCCAGUAAACCGAUCGCGUAUUACUGUAAUAUAGAUUACAAGAGAACAGUAAAUACUCAUUGUAUUCGAACAACUUUACUAUUUUCUCUGUCAAUCCUUCUCUUUUAAACUGAUGAUAGCGACUUAAAAUCCGUCGCAUCAUCAAAACAUGAAAAUGUCAGCCACGAUGCGUUGCAUUUCUUUUCUUUCUUUUUUUUUUUUUUCAAGUCAUCCAACAUCUAGUAGCCCGGUACGAAGAGAUUUUAUGUUACAAGAACUGCGCCCAUCGCAUAUUAUAUUUAUAUAUUUGAACAUUUACAACGAUAUUUCUCUGUACAACAAUUCAAAAUUCGGCAAUAAACUUUAUGUAGCUUUUUCAAGUGUUCCUCUUGCAUGUAUUAUUUUUUAAGAGAGUGUUGCGCUUCGUUUUGGCUCCACAAACCAAUAUUAAAUAUCUGCCAUCCACAGCGUUCGUUAUUUCUUUUUCUUUUCUUGUAGUCAGUCGUCCUCUGCUUCUCUCUUUGAUUGUUCGAAAGCGUUGUUUUUAAAUUUUUCUUCUGAGAUUCACUCGCCUUUGCGUAGGUCGUCUGUUGAACUGGAAA